rnacentral:rRNA from 1 species
AUUGAACGCUGGCGGCAUGCUUUACACAUGCAAGUCGAACGGUAACAGGCCUUCGGGUGCUGACGAGUGGCGAACGGGUGAGUAAUGCAUCGGAACGUACCCAGAGGUGGGGGAUAACGCAGCGAAAGCUGUGCUAAUACCGCAUGUGAUCUGAGGAUGAAAGCGGGGGACCGAGCAGCAAUGUUUGGCCUCGCGCCUUUGGAGCGGCCGAUGUCGGAUUAGCUAGUUGGUGGGGUAAAGGCCUACCAAGGCGACGAUCCGCAGCUGGUCUGAGAGGACGACCAGCCACACUGGGACUGAGACACGGCCCAGUCUCCUACGGGAGGCAGCAGUGGGGAAUUUUGGACAAUGGGCGCAAGCCUGAUCCAGCAAUGCCGCGUGCGGGAAGAAGGCCUUCGGGUUGUAAACCGCUUUUGGCAGGAACGAAACGGUGUCCGCUAAUACCGGGCGCUAAUGACGGUACCUGCAGAAUAAGCACCGGCUAACUACGUG